UACGUAGGUGGCAAGCGUUGUCCGGAUUUACUGGGCGUAAAGAGCGCGCAGGCGGUCGUUUAAGUCGAAUGUGAAAGCCCCCCGGCUCAACUGGGGAGGGUCAUUCGAUACUGAUCGACUUGAAGGCAGGAGAGGGAAGUGGAAUUCCGGGUGUAGUGGUGAAAUGCGUAGAUAUCCGGAGGAACACCAGUGGCGAAGGCGACUUCCUGGCCUGUUCUUGACGCUGAGGCGCGAAAGCUAGGGUAGCAAACGGG
rnacentral:rRNA from 1 species